GUACUUUUACCUGCCACUAGAUGUCCCCAGUCUGAUGUUCAGCAUGAUUCAACCCACUUUCUAAGCCCAGGUGAUCCCGGACGUGCCCCCAACCAGUGACUGGACAGUGAAAGGAGAAGCAGCACUGCGCUAAGCCCAUCUCUCUAAUACACCAAACAUG